rnacentral:rRNA from 1 species
UCACGAAAGUGAGCUGUACUAGAAGUCGCCAAGCUGACCGCAAGGAGGUAGGCGCCCAAGGUAUGACUCAUGAUUGGGGUG